rnacentral:rRNA from 1 species
ACGGAGGGGGCAAGCGUUGCUCGGAAUCACUGGGCGUAAAGCGCACGUAGGCGGAUUGUUAAGUCAGGGGUGAAAUCCUGGAGCUCAACUCCAGAACUGCCCUUGAUACUGGCGAUCUUGAGUUCGAGAGAGGUUGGUGGAACUCCGAGUGUAGAGGUGAAAUUCGUAGAUAUUCGGAAGAACACCAGUGGCGAAGGCGGCCAACUGGCUCGAUACUGACGCUGAGGUGCGAAAGCGUGGGGAGCAAACAG